UACAGAGGGUGCGAGCGUUGUUCGGAAUUAUUGGGCCUAAAGCAUCCGUAGCCGGUCCUGCAAGUCUUCCGUUAAAUCCAGCUGCUCAACAGAUGGGCUGCGGGAGAUACUACAGGGCUAGGAGGCGGGAGAGGCAAGCGGUACUUUAUGGGUAGGGGUAAAAUCCGCUGAUCCAUAGAAGACCACCAGUGGCGAAGGCGGCUUGCCAGAACGCGCUCGACGGUGAGGGAUGAAAGCUGGGGGAGCAAACCGG
rnacentral:rRNA from 1 species